UCCUCAGUUCAACUUCUCCAAAUGGGGCUCCCUGCUCAGCUCCUGGGGCUGCUGAUGCUCUGGGUCCCUGGAUGCAUUGGUGAUACUGUGAUGACCCAGACUCCACUGACCCUGUCUGUCACCCCUGGAGAGUCAGCCUCCAUCUCCUGCAAGGCUAGUCAGAGCCUCCUGAAUACCAAUGGAAAUACCUAUUUGCAUUGGUUACUGCAGAAGCCAGGCCAACCUCCAAGGCGCCUGAUUUAUCAGGUUUCCAACCGGGACUCUGGGGUUCCAGACAGGUUUAGUGGCAGUGGGUCAGGGACAGAUUUCACACUGAAAAUCAGCAGGGUGGAGGCUGAGGAUAUUGGAGUGUAUUACUGCAUGCAAGCUACACAUUCUCCUUACACAGUGGUAGAGCCCCGAACACAAACCUCCAUGCUUGGGGUGGCCCAGCUGCCCAACUGUGUUGUUUUACUCACCUCCAUUGAGAUGGUGGUGACAGCAUUCUACACAAGCUGCCCACAGGAGCAGCUGGUCACCCAUGGGGACCCUGGGGACCCUGCACAGACUCCUGUGAGAAGGACACUGACCAGGACCCUGCACAGUGUGACAGCCCCACACAAACCCCCCAGGAGGCUCAACCUCUCGGCAUGGCAGGAGCAGCAACAGUGCCCAGAGGACGAGUCCCAGCCAGGCAUCAGUGGACACCGGUUCCUCUCCUAG